UCUUAUAAGAUCUUCAGUAAACAAAGACAACUGUAUGAAAACUCCACAUUCUGGAUUCUCUAUCUCAGUUUUCUUUGCAGAAAAGAAAAGCAAUAACUCUAUUCUCUACUUUCUCAAAGAAACACUUUUUUUCCUCACAGCCACAAAGGGUAGAAAAAGAAGGACAUUUCUCAAUCUCCAGCAUAAUUGUUACUCAUAAUCAGAAUCUGCAGAAUGAAGGUGGAAAUUGAAGGCAGCCAGAGUGACUCUGCAGAAUCUCAGGGAGUGUCUGGAACAGAUGAAUCUGUUUCCGGGCAAUCAGAAAAUAGAAGACUGGAAUCCAAGAAGAAACUGAAGAAAGUGAGGUCAAUAAGGCUUGUAAGGUUGCCAAGCAAGAGAUCAUCCGUUAGAGGGAGACCCCAAUAUGAUCAUCUCUCCAUUCUCUCAUCAGUUAGCACAGAAAAUUUAGAGGGGCUAACACCACUUGGUAUGGCAGAUGCAUCACCCCAUUACAUGAAGGGUACCAGUAGUUCUCAUGCAAAGGAUAGUGUUCAGAAUACAGAAAGACUAUUGUUCACAAAGAAGACUUUGGGAAGAAUGACUACUUUGAAACUGAAGAGGAGUCUGACUAGAAAAGUAUCUGGUAGGACCGAACCAAAGAGGAAAGUGAAGUCGUCUAGAUCAAUCAUGCUUGUAACGGUCAAGGGCCAAAAGUUAUCUGAAUCUAGUUAUGGCAGUGGUGACCAGAAUUGGAUAAGUGCAAGUGAUGCUGCUGAUAACAAAACCCAGAGAGUCAUUACCAGAAGAUUAAGCUUGAAGCCUGUGAGGAUCUUAGCAAAGAUUCCCACUUUCAAAUCAAAGAAUUCUUCCAUGGAGAGUGGCCAAUCCCCAGACACAAGCUUGCUUAGAGCCACUUGCUCUUCUGCUCUGAAGGAUUCCCAUUUUCCUGAUCACAUUGGCUUCCCUCAAGAGGAAAGUGACUCUCAAGGAGUAUCAGCUGUUGCCAAGGUUUGUCCAUAUUCUUACUGCUCACUUCAUGGUCACCGCCAUGGGAAUCUGCCUCCAUUGAAGCGCUUUGUGUCAAUGAGGAGGCGCAAGUCGAAGAGCCAGAAGCCAACGAAAAUGGAUAAUCAACCUGUUACUAGAUCAAAUCAGUUUGGUAAUGCAAAGAAAGGUACUCGUAAAACUCAAACUGUCCACAGUGAAGGUGGCAAAUCUCAUUUUCAGAACAAGAAAAAGCUGGCAAGGGACUCAUGUAUUAGGCCUCAUGAUACUCCAGAAUCCACAGUUACUGAAAGUGUAGAACCAGUAUCAACAGAUGGAGUUCAGUUUUCUGCUCCUGAUAUUGAGAUGUUGGAGGGAGAAGUAACCAACACAGGCAAAAAUAUGGAGCCAGACAAUGAAGUACUUGAGGUGAGUUCUGUACCGAAAGAGUCUACAGAUGCUAGCACUACUGAUAUGGCCUGUAGAAUGAAAGAAAGAGAUAAAAAGCACAUCAACAUGUGGCACUUGGUGUACAAACAUACUGUACUAAGUAACACAGGGAAAUGUGAAAACAAGCCGCCCUUUGAUGGAGGGAACAAGGAAGGAAGAGAGCAAGGUUUCCUUACAACUAAUGAAGUAAACAACUCUAAUUGUCGAGAUGAUUGUGAUACAGACCAGGAUAUGGAUGAUGAAAAUAAGAAUGUAAUUGAGCUGGUGCAGAAAGCGUUUGAUGAAAUUCUUCUCCCAGAACCUGAAGAACUCUUUUCUGAUGAUAAUUCCAAAUCUGAAGGCGCUGAUUCAGAUGAGGUACUCUUAGAAAAAAACAAUGGCCAGACAGAAUGGAAAACCUCAGAAUCCACAGAAUCUCCAAUAGCACAGAGGAUGGAGACCAAAUCUGAUCAAAGAGCACCGAAAAGCUGGAGCAAUCUGAAAAAGUUAAUUCUCUGGAAAAGGUUUGUAAAAGCACUGGAGAAGGUAAGAAAUAUCCAUCCUCAAAGGCCAAGACGUUUUCCUUCUGAUGCUAACUUUGAAAUGGAAAAAGUUUUUCUCAAGCACCAAACAGCAGAAGAGAAAAAGCAUGCUGAGGAAUGGAUGCUUGACUAUGCACUUCAAAAGGUUAUUUCUAAACUUGCACCUGCUCAAAGACGAAGAGUGACACUUUUAGUAGAAGCUUUUGAAACAGUUCAGCCAUUUCAAGAUGUUGAAAGUAGUACACGGCUUUCUGCAACAACGGAGCAUCAAUCAAAUCUAAUUCAAUCCCUUGAGAAUUCCUCAAAUCAUAGCAAGGAAGAAGCAUCACUUUCUCAUAAGUGUACCAUGGAACUGGCUGUUAGUACUGGUGAUGAUCCAAUGAUAGAAAUGCACAGUCCUACCAUGCUUAAAGAAAGAUGUGUUGACUAUACUGAGACUGAGGCAGUCGAUAAUAUGCCAGUAUUUAGAGAUAUUGAAGAAGACUUGAAUGGAAAGCAAUCUUUAGCCAGGAGUUAUGAUAAUGAGAAGUUAUCAAGUGACAAUGAUAAUAUUUUUCUUGGAGAGAUCAAAGAUACCAGAUCAAGUUCCUCAAAUAUGCCAACUGAAUUUACAAGCAGCCAUGUGGAGGAUUCAACCAAUGAAGUAGUCAAUGAUGUUUCAGAAGACUUGCUAUCCAGUUUGAAUACAGAAAAUCAACAUAUCAAAUCUGAGUCACCUGGAAGAGAUGUCGAAACCAAGAAUCUGAUUGGUGAUAAUGGGGAAAAGCUUUCCAUGUCUAAAAGUUUAGUAGUAGAAGGUCUAGUUAGAUCACUCAGAUCUAACUUGAUCGGUUCAGGAGCACCUGAGAAGCUAUUAGAUGAAUCAUCAGCUGAUGGAAAAGAAGGAACUGAAAAAGUUAAGUUGGAAAUUGAGACUGUUGAAGAGUUCCCUACAAAAGAACAAUCUAAAGCUCCUAAGAGUGCUGCUGUAGAACCUGAGACCCCUGUGGAGAAACAGAACAACACAGGAUUGUGGUUCUUGGUGUACAAACACAUGGUAUCAAAUAUGGCUGAAAGCAAUUCCAAGUCACUGAUUGAUGGUGAAGAUGGGAAAGAGUCAGCAUUUGAUGGAAGCAGAACACGAGGGUCUUCCAUCUCUUACGAAGGCACAACUGUGAGUAAUCAAGAGAUGCAAUUCAAGGACCAUGCUGCAGCUGAUCCAGAAGUUGCACUUCAACAGAUAGAAGCCAUCAAGAUGGUAGAAGAAGCGAUUGAUUCAAUUCUUCCAGAUGAUCAGGAUGACUUAGCAGACAAGGAGUCACUCACUGGCAACACAGUAUCAGACAACUCCAAACAAUCUGACAGAACUGAAAGAGUGUACAGUGAAGACCUGAACCAAAAAGAAGAAAAGAUGGAAUCUGGGAAUGAAAUACUCCAGGAACAGCAAAAAGAAUCAGCAGCACUAAAGGAACAAUGCAAAACAAACCAGCCAUUGUCUAGAAGCUGGAGCAAUCUUAAAAAAGUGAUUCUUCUUAGGAGAUUCAUCAAGUCAUUGGAAAAAGUAAGGAAAUUCAAUCCAAGAGGCCCCAGAUAUCUACCUCUAGAGCCUGAUUCAGAAGCUGAAAAAGUUAACUUAAGGCAUCAAGACAUGGAAGAAAGAAAAGGAACUGAAGAAUGGAUGCUUGAUUAUGCACUUAGACAGGUUGUUUCCAAAUUAACCCCGGCUAGGAAAAGAAAAGUGGAGCUGCUGGUGGAAGCUUUUGAAACAGUCAUGCCAACCAUAACAAAAUGAAAUUGAGCAAACUGGCAAAGAGUGGAAUAGCUUUCUAUGAAAAAUAAAUUCAAGCUGGAAGGUAAACAAGGAGAUAUGGAUGAUCCUAAUCCUUUGGGAUGUGAGGAGUUUUUUGUCUGUGAAAACUGUGUCAGACCUGGUAUAUUUCGAUAGUAGAGUGUAGAAUGUUUGACGAUUCAGCAUCAACAAACGUUAAAUACAGUACAUAUUUCCCCCUUGUUUUCCGUUCAUAUUUUAUUGGUGUCUCAGGUGGUUGGUUGUUUUGUAUGAAAGACUUGCAUUACAAAUA